rnacentral:lncRNA from 1 species
AUUAAUUUCAGAAAAAAAUGAUCAUCUUGUCGAAUAAUCUCACAAAAGUAGAAGCAAAAAUUUCGGCGACUUUUUUAACAGGUAUAUUCAAAUGACCGUUAGAAAAAAGCGGAACAUCAAUAUUAUGGUAAUCAACUUUACGUUUAUUCUACCUAACAUAACGGCACUGUGUGUUGUGAUUUAAUUUUGUUGAAAAAAUUGACAAAAAAAAAAUUAGCACGUAAAACAUCUGAUAAAUAAGCAAUAUCGAAUAAAACAACGUUUCUCUAUUGCAAGAAAAGUGUUUCACAAGUUGAAACUAGGGACAAAGUGUGAAGAAAUACAAAACAGCGCUUUUAUGAAAAGACGUUUUCAAAGAAUAUCACAAUUAUACAAUCACAUUUCACACAAUAAGUUGUUAACCCAUUUGAACAACUAUAACUGCAUUCUUAGUUGUUGAUAAUUUUUGUAAAAAAAAAAUGGCCGAAAAAGGUAUAAAGUGCGCACUGUUUUUUUUUUACCUUAUACAUUAAUUACCUACUUCAUCUAUAAAUAAUUAUUGUAUACUUUUUAUUUUCAUUAUCAGAAGAAUUUUCAAACUCGUGGAAUAAUAUCUGAAAAGAGGAAGCAAAAAUUUCGACGACUUCUUUUUAGCAGGAAUAUUCGAAUGACCGUUAGAAAAAAAGAGAAACAUCAAUAUCAAGAUAAUCAAUUGUACAAUAACUCUAACUAAUAUAACGGCACUGUGUGGUGUGGUAUAAUUUGGUGAAAAUAUUGACUGACAAAAGUGGGCACGUAACACAUCUCAUCAAUAAGCAAUUUCCAAUAAAUCAACAUUUUUAUUUUGCAAGGAAAGUCCUUACUAAGUCAACCAAAGUGACAAAGUUUGCAGAAAAAUAAAUCAGGGCUUUUCUGAAAAGCUGUUUUCAUUGAAGAUACAUGUAGCAAUUAUACAGUAUUCUGCCAUAAGUAUUCGUAAAAACAACAAUUGCGGUCACGUCAUGGAAGGUUAAACAAGUUUUGGCCGUCGUCUCCAUGUCACAAUCUGGAUGACCGUGAAUCUAAAUUUAAAUAUAAAUUGAUCUGUAGAAAAACAUGUGGUUGUCAUGUGACACGUGCAUGAUGGCAUCAACCUUGUCUUGUAAAUAAAAUGGGUCGAAGGGGAAAAGAACUGACAUCUUAUCAGAAAAGGGAUUUCGCUGCAUUAAAUGAUGCAGGUUACCGAAAAAGUGAAAUAGUCAGACUGACCGGCAUUACACAAAGACCCGUUGACAUUUUUUGAAGAGGUAUGAACAUCGCGGUGAUAUAGAAAACAUACGGAGAUGCAGCAGACCUAAAUCCUUUCAUGACCGGUAUAUGAGAAAAUUUUCCCGUCCCGUAAAAAAAUAUCGCCAUGAAGGUUUAGCUGAAAUUACAAAUAAUUUUAAUGAGAACAUUGAUAGACCUUUCUCUAAAAGAACUGUUGAAUGUAAAAUACAUUUUGAUUGAUUCUGCACGCGGUCAGUUUAAAAAAAAAUAUCGUAUAUGUGAGAUCAAUUAGAAAAAACGAGUGGCAUACUGUAUAGGAAAUCUACAUAAAAGAGGAAAUGUUCACUGGAGUACAUGGAUAUUCAACGAUAAGUGAAAGGUAGUCAUACGGCAAAAUUCUUCACCCAAUGUCUAGAGAAGGUCGGGGAAGAGUGGUUGAUGGAUUGUAUUUUCCUUCCGUCUCAGCGCAACUAUUGUUUGAUGAUCUGGGGGUGUAUUAAUUACAAUGACGUGGGAAUUAUAACUGUCAUUGACGGGAACAUAAAUGCCUUAAAAUACUUUGACAUAAUUGACAACAAAGUGUGGUCAAUGAUUGUUAAAUUCAGAAGAGUUUUUAAACUCGACGUCGAUUAUCUCACAAAAAAGGAAACAAAUAUUUCGGCGACUUUUGUUUGCAGGUAUAUUCGAAUGACCAUUAGGAAAAAAGCGAAACAUCAAUAUCAAGGUAAUCAAUUUUACAUUUAUUGUAACUUAUAUAUCGGCACUGUGUGGUGUGGUCUAAUUUUGUUGAAAAUAUUGACAAAAAAAAUUAGGCACGUAAAACUAUGGAACGCCACAGCUGGCUUAUGUGGAACUCUGAUAUUACUUUAUGUUGUUUUACUAUUACUUAAUGAUAUUUUGUCUUUACUUAAUAUGGUUUUGACAUUACUUAAUGAAGUUUUGAUAUUACACGUUAUGAUUUCGUAUUGACUUGAUAUCAUUUUGUAAUUACUCAAUAUGGUUUUGUCAUUUCUCAAUAUGGUUUUGUCACUACUCGAUGUGGUUGUGUCAUUAGUCAAUAUGGUUUGAACAUUACUUGAUGUGAAUAUGACUUAACGUUAUGUAGUUGUUUCAUUACAUGAUGUGGUUUUGUUAUUUCGUAAUGAUGAUUUGCCUAUUCUUUAUAUGGUUUUAACAUUACGUGAUGAUGUUAUAAAAUUUGACGAUUCUACACUACUUGAUGUGUUUAAUUCAUUAUUUGAAAAGAUGUUUUCAAUGAACAUAAUAAAAGAGGAACGAAAGAUACAAGAGGGACAGUCAAACUCAUAAAUCGAAAAUAAACUGACAACACCAUGGCUAAAAAUAAAAAGUUCAAACAGACAAACAAUAGUACACAUGAUACAACAUAGAAAACUAAAGAAUAAACAACACGAACCGCAUUUAUAAUUAUACCUUCACAUUUCACACAAUUAGUUGUUAGCCCAUUCGAACAAAAAGAACUGCAUUGUUAGCUGUUCAUUAUUUUGAACAAAAGCCUAAUGAAAAAAUUAUAAAGUAUGCACCGUUUUCUAUUAUACAUUGAUAACUUAUUUCAUCAAUUUACAAUUAUUGACUUAGUUUUAUUGUUAAUUUCAGAAAAAAAGUUUCAAACUUGUCGAAUAAUCUCACAAAAGUAGAAGCAAAAAUUUCGGCGACUUUUUUAACAGGUAUAUUCAAAUGACCGUUAGAAAAAAGCGGGACAUCAAUAUCAUGAUAAUCAACUUUACAUUUAUUCUACCUAACAUAACGGCACUGUGUGUUGUGAUUUAAUUUUGUUGAAAAAUUGACGAAAAAAAAAAUACGUACGUAAAACAUCUGAUCAAUAAGCAAUAUCGAAUUAAGCAACGUUUUUCUAUUGCAAGAAAAGUGUUUCAAAAGUUGAAACUAGGGACAAAGUGUGAAGAAAUACAAAUCAGCGCUGUUAUGAAAAGACGUUUUCAAAGAAUAUCACAAUUAUACAAUCACAUUUCACAAAAUAAGUUGCUAAACUCAUUCGAACAACUAUAACUGCAUUCUUAGUUGUUGAUAAUUUUUUGUAAAAAAAAAUAACCGAAAAAGUUAUAAAGUGCGCACUGUUUUUUUUUACCUUAUACAUUGAUUACUUACUUCAUCUAUAAACAAUUAUUGUAUACUUUUUAUUUUUAAUUUCAGAAUAAUUUUCAAACUCGUCGAAUAAUAUCUGAAAAGAGGAAGCUAACAUUUCGACGACUUCUUUUUAGCAGGAAUAUUCGAAUGACCGUUAGUAAAAAAGCAAAACAUCAAUAUCAAGAUAAUCAAUUGUACAAUAACUCUAACUAAUAUAACGGCACUGUGUGGGUGGUAUAAUUUUGUUGGAAACUAUUGACUGAAAAAAGUGGGCCCGUAACACAUCUCAUCAAUAAGCAAUUUCCAAUAAAACAACAUUUUUAUUUUGCAAAGAAAGUCCUUACUAAGUCAACCUAAGUGACAAAGUUUGCAGAAAAAUAAAUCAGGGCUUUUAUGUAAAGCUGUUUUAAUUGAACAUAAAUGUACCAUUUAUACAGUAUUCAGCCUUAAGUAUUUGUAAAAACAACAAUUUGCGUCGUCUCCAUGUCACAAUCGGUAUAACAGUGAAUCUAAAUUUAAAUGUAGAAAAACAUGUGGUUGUCAUGUGACACGUGCGUGAUGGCAUCAACCUUGUCUUGUAAACAAAAUGGGUCGAAGGGGAAAAGAACUGAUAUCUUAUCAGAAAAGUGAUUUCGCUGCAUUAAAUGAUGCAGGUUACCGAAAAAGUGAAAUAGUCAGACUGACCGGCAUUAAACAAAGACCCGUUGAUAUAUUUUUAAAGAGGUAUGAACAUCGCGGUGAUAUAGAAAACAUACGGAGAUGCAGCAGACCUAAAUCCUUUCAUGACCGGUAUAUGANAAAAU